UACAGAGGGGGCAAGCGUUAUUCGGAAUUAUUGGGCGUAAAGGGCGCGUAGGCGGCUUUGCAAGUGGCGGGUGAAAUCCCUCGGCUUAACCGAGGAACUGCCUGCCAGACUGUGAGGCUUGAGACCGGGAGAGGUGAGUGGAAUUCCCAGUGUAGCGGUGAAAUGCGUAGAUAUUGGGAGGAACACCAGUGGCGAAGGCGGCUCACUGGACCGGAACUGACGCUGAGGCGCGAAAAGCGUGGGGAGCAAACAGG
rnacentral:rRNA from 1 species